rnacentral:rRNA from 1 species
AUUGAACGCUGGCGGCAGGCCUAACACAUGCAAGUCGAGCGGAGCGGCGGACGGGUGAGUAAUGCCUAGGAAUCUGCCUGGUAGUGGGGGAUCACGUCCGGAAACGGGCGCUAAUACCGCAUACUAUCAGAUGAGACUAGGUCGGCUUAGCUAGUUGGUGGGGUAAAGGCAUACAAAGGCGACGAACCGUAACUGGUCUGAGAGGAUGAACAGGCACAGUGGAACUGAGACACGGUCCAGACUCCUACGGGAGGCAGCAGUGGGGAAUAUGGUACAAUGGGCGAAAGCCUGAGCCAGCAAUGCCGCGGGUGUGAAGAAGGCCUUCGGAUUGUAAAGCACUUUAAGUUGGGAGGCGUUACCAACAGAAUAAGCACCGGCUAACUUCGUGCCAGCAGCCGCGGUAAUUC